UACGAAGGGUGCAAGCGUUACUCGGAAUUACUGGGCGUAAAGGGUGCGUAGGUGGUUUGUUAAGUCUGCUGUGAAAUCCCCGGGCUCAACCUGGGAACUGCAUCUGUGACUGUAUAGCUAGAGUACGGUAGAGGGGGAUGGAAUUCCGCGUGUAGCAGUGAAAUGCGUAGAUAUGCGGAGGAACACCGAUGGCGAAGGCAAUCCCCUGGACCUGUACUGACGCUCAUGCACGAAAGCGUGGGGAGCAAACAGG
rnacentral:rRNA from 1 species